GACGAACGCUGGCGGCGUGCUUAACACAUGCAAGUCGAACGGAAAGGCCCUGCUUUUGUGGGGUGCUCGAGUGGCUAACGGGUGAGUAACACGUGAGUAACCUGCCCUUGACUUUGGGAUAACUUCAGGAAACUGGGGCUAAUACCGGAUAGGAGCUCCUGCUGCAUGGUGGGGGUUGGAAAGUUUCGGCGGUUGGGGAUGGACUCGCGGCUUAUCAGCUUGUUGGUGGGGUAGUGGCUUACCAAGGCUUUGACGGGUAGCCGGCCUGAGAGGGUGACCGGCCACAUUGGGACUGAGAUACGGCCAAGACUCCUACGGGAGGCAGCAGUGGGGAAUAUUGCACAAUGGGCGGAAGCCUGAUGCAGCAACGCCGCGUGCGGGAUGACGGCCUUAGGGUUGUAAACCGCUUUCGCCUGUGACGAAGCGUGAGUGACGGUAAUGGGUAAAGAAGCACCGGCUAACUACGUG
rnacentral:rRNA from 1 species